UUUUACUGGAACAAAAUACAAUUAGCGCCCAAAAUGCCUUACGCCCAAACUACUAGCGCGCGACCCCCGUUCUCUAACCCUAGAAGCCAAUCUCUUCCCUGUUCUUUUUGCUAAUCUCUUUCCCCUCUUCCCUAUAAUUCUUUGAACUGCCAAUCUCUUCCCCCUCUUACCCUAGCCUUUGAGGAGAGUUAUUCAUCAACAUACAUUUUCUCUGGACUUCCAGCGAUUUGAGGUAUGUAAAAACUACCAAUCUCUUCCCCUAAUGACGUUCUCUUGCUUUUCUUUCUUUGCCUUGUGAGAUUUAGGGUUAGAGAACAUAAAUAGAAGGGGGAAAGCUUCUUUUGAGGAAAGGAAAGUUGAGGAAAGGAGGAAGGCGAGGAUGUGAAGGAAGAUGGAGAGGAUGGAGAGCUUCCUGAAGCGGAACUUUAAGGUGGUGCACAAGAACCCGUCAGAGGACGCGCAACCCCAGUGGCAGAGGGCCAUCGGUGCCUUCAUCAAGAAUUGUUGACGCUGCUUCCACAUGGUCCCUGAUCUCGACAAGCAAUCGGUCGUCGAGGCUAAGAAGCUAAAGAUCCAGGUCAUGAUUAUUUUGAUUCUAUGGCAUUUUCUCUCUUUUAUUACUAAUGGAGUUGAAGAAUGCUCGGUCUUGCUUUUCAUAGAUAAUCUUAAACAAAAUGGUAGUGUUGAAUAUGGAUAUUAUAUGAUGCGGUACAUGAAAGAGAUAGUCUUGGAUGAAGAUUCACAAUUAUAGAGAAAGUUUGCAGCAUAAAAAAAUAGACAGUAUUACAAUCAAUCUCAGUAUAAUGAAGUCAAAA